rnacentral:rRNA from 1 species
CCUACGGGAGGCAGCAGUGAGGAAUAUUGGUCAAUGGACGGAAGUCUGAACCAGCCAUGCCGCGUGCAGGAAGACGGCUCUAUGAGUUGUAAACUGCUUUUGUACAAGGGUAAACCUGAAUACGUGUAUUCAGCUGAAAGUACUGUACGAAUAAGGAUCGGCUAACGCCGUGCCAGCAGCCGCGGUAAUACGGAGGAUCCAAGCGUUAUCCGGAUUUAUUGGGUUUAAAGGGUGCGUAGGCGGAUUGAUAAGAUAGAGGCGAAAUGUCCGAGCUUAACUCGGGAACUGCCUCUAAUACUGUUGCUCUAGUGAGUAGAUGCGGUCGUCGCAAUGUAUGGUGUAGCGGUGAAAUGCUUCGAGAUCAUACAGAACACCGAUUGCGCCGGCAGCUUACCAAGCUAUAUCUGACGUUGGGGCACGCACGCGUGGGGAGCAAACAGGAUUAGAUACCCCUGUAGUC